AUCCAGCUGACGAGUUCCGAGUAAGACGUAACGCGCGUCUUGGAU
rnacentral:hammerhead_ribozyme from 1 species